rnacentral:rRNA from 1 species
AAACGCUUGAAGUCAGACGUGCCUAGCCGGGUCCAGCCUUUUGGUGUACCCCCGGUGGCAGGCUAGCAUCGAUUUUGGGGGUCGGAUAAGGGCUUGGGGAAUGUGGCAGCUUCGGCUGUGUUAUAGCCCCUUGCUUGAUACGGCUUCUGAGAUCGAGGAUCGCGGCUCGCCCUUGUGGCAGGGAACUCGUUCUCUUCCGAGCCUAGGAUGCUGGCGUAA